GCUACUGGGAAGAGGAACUGAUAAAUAGAAUCGUAAUCACAUGAGAAGAUUAGCAUGGCCCCUGCGCAAGGAUGACACGCAAACUUUCACAUGGUAUUUUU
rnacentral:snRNA from 1 species